UGACCAGCCACAUGUGAUGGAGAGCGCUGUU
rnacentral:piRNA from 1 species